GGCAACGGAAACCACAAGGAAAGGGCUCCCACAGCAGGCAGGGAAAGGGAGAAGGGACAUUUUUAACUCUUUGGGUGGUGGAGCUGAGGCAGGAUUUGAGCAGGGGAAGGAAAGGAGGCAAAGCCACUUGGAUUUCCUGCCUGAUUACUGGGAAACCUGGAGAAACCACUGAGUUUUCCUGGGUACAUCUUUAUACGUGAUAGCCCCCUCGUGCCCAGCCCCUGCCAAAGAAACACUGUGGCUCACGCACAAGGCAAAAUUCUUUGUUUGAAGGGCUGAUAAGGGGAGGAAGGAGCGGAGCCAAGAGCAAGAAGCAAUUCCCAGCCACAGAACGGGGUUUGGUCGU